rfam:Thioclava pacifica DSM 10166 contig3, whole genome shotgun sequence.
GCGGGCGUGGCGAAAUGGUAGACGCACGGGACUUAAAAUCCCUUGGGCUUAGCCCGUGCCGGUUCGAGUCCGGCCGCCCGUA